UACGUAGGGUGCGAGCGUUGUCCGGAAUUACUGGGCGUAAAGAGCUCGUAGGCGGUCUGUCGCGUCUGCUGUGAAAACUCAGGGCUUAACCCUGAGCUUGCAGUGGGUACGGGCAGACUAGAGUGCGGUAGGGGAGACUGGAAUUCCUGGUGUAGCGGUGAAAUGCGCAGAUAUCAGGAGGAACACCGGUGGCGAAGGCGGCUCUCUGGGACGGUACUGACGCUGAGACGCGAAAGCGUGGGGAGCGAACAGG
rnacentral:rRNA from 1 species